GCCAAAUUAAAAAUCACACAGCAAUUCCCAUCAUCCUCGAUCGCCGUGUGUCUGUCUAGGAACCCAAUGCAUCCAUCCACCACCAUCACUGCCAGCCAUGACAGUAGCCAGUGGCUGAUAGUGUGACAAUAAUGGAGUAUCACAGUGAGAGCGGCCAUGUGCUUCAGCCAGCCCAUCCUCCUACACUGCUAACAAAGGGAAGAUGGUGAACC